UGAUACUUUGUGCUAGAAAUACUAUUACUCAUAUUCUUAACAGAUGAAACUAUGCAUGAAAUUCAUGAUGCAUACACAAGCAUAUUUGACAUUGAUUCUUUGCAUACCAUUCCAUUUAAUUUAGGCACAAUUGAUGAGCCAUGUAACAUAUUGUUAGCAGCAGACCUAACUCUUGAUGAGAGGAAAGAUUUUGAGAGAAUUUUGAAAAAACAUGAGAAAGUAUUUGCUUGGUCUUACGACGAUAUGCCUAGGACAGGUAGGAGCAUAGUGGAGCACCGCAUUCCCAUGUACCCUGAUGCUAAGCCUGUCAAGUAGAAAUUCAUGUGCCCAAGAGCAAAGUGGGCACACAAGGUUAGAGAAUAGGUCACUAAACAGGUGAAUGGUGUACAAUUUCAGGCUGAGACUAGAGAGCUUUUACAAAAAUAUGGAGUGGAGCAUCAUAAGUCCUCACCAUAUGGGCCACAAGCUAAUGGUGCAGUAGAGGGAGCUAAUAAGAAUUUGAAAAGGAUCCUGAGCAAAAUGACACAAACCUACAGGGAUUGGGCAGACAAACUACCCUUGGCAUUGUGGGGGCACAGGACGACUGAGUGAUACUCAACAGGGGCUACUCCUUAUUAUGAAUGAAAGAGGCUGUGUUGCCGAUAGAGAUGGAAGUCAAAUCUCUAGGGGUGACGCUUAAAGUCAAAAUUCUUGAUUAUGCAUGAAAGAGGGAUAGGUAAGAAUAGCUAGCAUUAUUAGAUGAAGCUAGACUUAAGUUUAUGUUUAAUACUCAGCUUUAUUAGAGAAGGAUAGCUCAUGCCUAUAAUAAAUGAGUAAAGCCUUUAAAGAUUUGAGUGGGAGAUUUGGCGCUGAAAUAGUCUAAAGUUGUUCUACCUGAUCCUAGGGGAAAGUUCAGACCAAACUAGGAAGGAUCGUAUCUUGUCAAGAAACUGUUACCUAAGGGUGUUGUGAAGCUAUCUGAUAUGGAAGGCAAUGAGUUUAUGGAGCCAAUCAGUAGGGACAGGCUUAGGAAAUGCUUUCUCUAAAGAAAAAUAAAAGAAAAAUAGAACCAUAAAAAAAACCUAUUACGUGAAAAACCCGAAAGGGCUGCUCAGACAAAAAUUAGGAAUAAUGAAAAAUGACCCUCGCUAAGUAGAAAACUCAAAAGGGCCGCUUAAGAAAAAAUUAUAGGUAAUAAAGCCUGCCAAGUUGAAAACUCGAAAAGGCAGCUUAGGCAACAAUAAAGGCAUGUGAGAAUAAAAUAUUUAGUUGGAAAACUUGCAAAGGCUAGCUAAUAACAAAAGUACGGUAUGCUGCUACUAAUAUGAUACCAAUCUUGCUUAAGUCUGAAUGUAGUGGCAUGAUAUAGAAUUACACGAAUGACAUAAACAGUUCUAAAAAUAGAUUCAUAACAUAGAUAAGUCUUAAUAAAAAAAAACAUUCAUUCAUGUUUUAGUUUCAUUCAUUAUUGUUUUAGUGAUAGAAUUGUUUCUUUUUUAUAUUGUGCUAUCUACUGUUUUUUGUGCUUCUUAGAUGCAUAUGAUGAAGAUUCUUCCCUAGAUCGCCUCAAAAAGUAAGCAUCCUGAUCAAUGAGGGAGGCCCAUCUCUUAUACUCAUCACUGGUGCUCUGAUUAGCUGAAGACUCGAUCUGGUACUCAAUGGUACGGCAAGGCCAAAUGUUCUCCCAAUGCUCAAGGAACUGUCUGGACAAUGGACCUCCCUGGAACUCAGGAAUCAGCAAUAAGAUGUCCUGUCGGCAUCCAAACUACUUACAGAGAUGGUGAGGAGUAUCGAAAGUAGAGAAAUGCAAACUUGCAAGUGGUAGGUAUGGGACAUAUGUACGGGUAGUGACAUGAAUAAUAUGGCACCAAGGGCACAUCUACUAGAUGGUUGCAUUGCAUUAGGGAGGGUCCCAAUCCAUUAAACCCAUCUAUCAUAAGUAGGGGUGUGCAAACGAUCAGUUUGGUUCCAAACAGAAUCGAACCGAAUAAAUUGAAAACCAAAGCUAAGGAUUUUUAAAGACGAAAUCGAAUCGAACAUUAAGACGGAACUAAACCAAAAUAACUGACUUAAUUCGAUUCAGUUUGAUUCGGAAUCGAUUAAAUUGAACUUUCUAAAAAUUCAACUUCACACACACUUUACACACAUAAAUCCCAUCCCAGCAACUAAAAAAUCUCAAACAAUUUAAACAGGAAUAAGAACAAACCUCAAAUCCAACACUACAACAGCAAAUUAAAGACUUUCAAAUCAAGUUCCUAAAUCCUAAAUACUCAAAGUCUCAAACAAUCUCAUGAACAAAAACACAAUAAUCAAUUUCAAUCUUCCAGAUGCAAGAAUAUAAUUCCAGAUGUAGUACCCAUUAAUCAAUUUAUUGAAAAAAAAAACUAAAAAUUACACAAAAUUUCAACAGCAAAUUUUGCAAUACCCUUUACAAUCUGCCUACAUUUUGCAAGAAAUUACAAAUUCCCACAAUAUGCCUAUAUUUGGCAAUACCCAUUACAAAAACAAUACCCAGCAAAAUACAUCAAACUUCUAUUAAAAAAAAAAUUACAUCAAACCGACGUGAGAAACCGAAGAAACUUGAGCAAAAGCGGAUUUUCUUCUUCGCUUCAAUCAUCUCCCAUCUGCUCUAGCGCAAAAGAUGAAGAAGAAGAAGUCUAUGAACAAUAGCAGUAGCGAAAUGUGAGUUGGUGAGCGGUGACCGACUGAAUCUCAUGCUACAAAGCCACAUGCAAGGCAAAAGGAUGACUCCAUUGACAAGCUCUAUUAGAAUAUUCUCUAACUCCCUUAGCUUUCUGUCGGUUCUUCCAUGAUUAAAUUCAAUUGAUUCCUUCAAAUCAUCAAAGGUAUUUUCUACUUGCCGUGUUCUACUUUCCAUCUGAGAUAGUCGUGCACUGAGACACUCCACUAAGUGUAGCAAAACAUCAGCAUGUUCCUUCAACUUUUGAUCAAUCCUGGAAAUCAAUUCUACAUCGCCGAAAAUCCCAACUUUCUCACCAGAGAAUUUUGUAGAAUGUUGGCCCAUCGAAUUCCAAC
rnacentral:misc_RNA from 1 species